rfam:Oryza barthii chromosome 3, whole genome shotgun sequence.
AAAAUGGCAAACCUUAGGUUUCCGUAUCAACGUUUGACUGUCCGUCUUAUAUAGAAUACUUUUUAUUGUUGUUAGAUGAUAAAACAUGAUUAAUACUUUAUGCGUGACUUACCUUUUUAAUUUUUUUUCAUAAUUUUUUCAAAUAAGAUGGACGGUCAAACGUUGGAUACGGAAACUAGGGUUUGUCUUUUU